rnacentral:misc_RNA from 1 species
GUGAAGGAAGACACUGCGUAUUGUGCGCUAUCUUCUUACUCUGCAUACGCGAAGGAAACUUAACAAGUGAAAGGGAAGGUUAAGAAUAUUCUAGGGAUGAUACUGGAAACACGAUCUAUAUCAUCCUUAUACUGACAACACAGGAAGCACCACGGAUUAUGGAAACGUCACAGUUGAGUCUGCUACUCCUCGUGGGCGGCCUGUUCUACGCCCACGUCGGCAUCCUUAUGGUCACAACGCAGGCGAGAGUAGCCAAAGUUACUCCAUUUAUCCUUUGCUAUCCGGUUAGGGUUGGAACCGUGUACCUCGUUCUAGCCGCUAAAUUACCCCCUGUGUGCAAGAUUGCUAGGGGAGAAUGCUACCAUUGCACACACAGCAGCGAUGAAGUGAGAAGGAGAACAGAAGACGGGAAAAAAAGUAGAGAGAGAAAGACGUAGAAAGGAUGAAGAUGAAAAAGACAAUACAUAGGAGGAAGAAGAAGAAAAAGCAGAUAUUGAAAACUAGGGAAUAUGAUCCCUAUAUUUUCCUCGACUUAAUAAA